GAGGCGAAGGCGGCCGGUGGGGCCGGGCUGAGAUUUUUUUUUUUUUUUUUCCCUCCUCCACGGUGGAAGCGGCCGGUGGGAGGAGGCAAGAAAGUCCGCAGCUGCCGCACAGCACUGCCUCUCUGACAGGCGCAGGAGGAACGCAAGCUCUUCGCUCAUGUCUACGAAUCUAUGUGAAGGCCGGGUCCAAGAAGCGCAGACCAGACCGUCGGACCCCUGCAGCGGCGCCAUGGCGUCCGUAGCGGAAUACUACGCCGGCAAAAACGUGCUCAUCACGGGAGCCACGGGCUUCAUGGGCAAAGUCCUGGUGGAGAAGCUGCUGAGAAGCUGCCCGAAAGUCCGAGCGCUCUUCCUGCUGGUCAGACCUAAAGCCGGCCAGUCCAUGCAGCAGAGGGUGGACGACAUGCUCAAGUGCAAGCUCUAUGACCGUGUGCGGGAAGAGGACCCGGACUUCCACCAAAAGGUCAUACCUGUCAGCAGCGAACUGACGCAGCCGGGCCUCGCUAUCAGCGAGGAGGACGUCGCCGAGCUCACCGCCCGCAUCAACAUCGUCUUCCACUGCGCCGCCACCAUCCGGUUUGACGAGCCGCUCAAACACGCCCUGCAGCUCAACGUGAUCGGCACCCAGCAGCUCCUUAACCUGGCCCAGCGCAUGCGCCACCUCGAGGCCUUCAUCCACAUCUCCACCGCCUAUGCAAACUGCAACCGCAAGCACAUCGACGAGGUCAUCUACCCGCCGCCCGUCGAGCCUUGGAAGCUCAUCGAAUCCCUCGAGUGGAUGGACGACAGCAUCGUGCGCGACAUCACGCCGCGGCUCAUCGGCGACCGGCCAAACACGUACACGUACACCAAAGCCCUGGCCGAGUACGUGGUGCAGCAGGAGCAGGACAAGCUCAACAUCGGCAUCAUCAGGCCCUCCAUUGUGGGAGCCAGCUGGCAGGAACCCUUCCCGGGUUGGAUUGACAACUUCAACGGGCCUAGCGGAGUCUUUAUCGCUGCUGGGAAAGGGAUUCUGCGCACCAUGCGGGCCAACAACGACGCUGUGGCCGACCUGAUCCCCGUGGACGUGGUCAUCAACCUGAUGCUGGCUGCAGGCUGGUACACGGCCGUGCACAGGCCUAAGAAGGCACUGGUGUACAACUGCACGACCGGCGGCAUUAACCCGUUCCACUGGGGCGAGAUCGAGCACCACGUGAUGUCGACCUUCAAAAGGAACCCGCUGGAGCAGGCCUUCCGCAGGCCCAACGCCAACAUCACGUCCAACUAUCUCAUCUACCAGUACUGGAUCCUGGUCAGCCACAAGUUCCCCGCCCUCAUCUACGACCUCUUCCUACGUCUCACCGGACAGAAGCCGCAGAUGAUGCGCAUCUUCAACCGGCUGCACAAGGCCAUCAGCCUGCUGGAAUACUUCAGCAGCCAGGACUGGGAGUGGAACUCGGACAACAUGACCAUGCUGUUGGGUCAGCUCAGCCCGGAGGACCGCAAGACGUUCAACUUUGACGUACGCCAGCUCAACUGGCCCGAGUACAUCGAGAACUACUGCAUCGGCACCAAGAAGUAUGUCCUGAACGAGGACAUGUCUGACAUUCCUGCCGCCAGGCAGCACCUCAGGAAGCUGAGGAACAUCCGCUACACCUUCAACACCGUGCUGGUGGUCUUCAUCUGGAGGGUCUUCAUCGCCCGCUCGGAGAUGGCCAGGAACAUCUGGUACUUUGUGGUCAGCCUGUGCUUCAAGUUCCUCUCCUACUUCCGCGCUUCCAGCACCUUGACCAACUGACGAGUCUUCCUGCCGCCGGACUUUUCGCGUGAAAGGUGGACAAGCGGGGGAGGAGCUCAGGAAGGGAGGUAAAACAGUGAUGAGCCAUUCAGAAAAAAAAAAAAGAGGUACAAAAUAUUUAUGCAAAGUCUAUUUCCGAGGGCUCGCCCUCUUAAUUGUCACCACCGGUGGUGUGUGUUUGGAUCCCGAGCUCGCAGCUGCGGUGAUCUCGUGUGCUGAUGGCCAAACACCUCGUUAGCGUCGUCGACUGCGACAAACGCGACCAAUGACUUUAUCUCAUUCCAUCUGAUGUUUGAGUGCGUCUGCUCCAUGCUUCAUUCAAGUGUGAAAUAAACCAGACCAGAGCGUGCA